rnacentral:misc_RNA from 1 species
GAAAUUAAAUUUUUAUUAAAAAAAGGGAGAAGGCAAUGGAGAGAGAAAGGAAGAAGUGGGAGAGAUAUAUAGGGUGGAAAAGGGAAGGAUAAUACCAUUUAUAGUGGUAAAUUUGUCCAUAAUGAUAUUCCAGCAAGUGAUUCAGGCUAACUGCUCUUAAUUAAAAUAAUUCUCCAUUCAAACACUUGAUUGAUAGGGAAAAAAAAAGGUUAAGACAUUGAAUUGUCAAAUUUUUAAAAAGUUUGGACACCAGCGAUAUCAUUAUCGCAUAAAUUUAUUAUGACCCCUCUAAAAUCUAGUAAUAGAAAAAAUGAUCCCACUCAAUUUUAUUUUUCUUAAAAGAUAGCUGAAUAAAAGUCAAAUUCCAAUCAAAAUUUUGGGAAAGAAAAAAGAAGGCAAUUUAGGAAGACUU